rnacentral:sRNA from 1 species
CUUUCUUUAAACGGGGAAAAUAUGCACAUAAAAAUUCAAAAGGCCUAGGCUGGGCAAGGUGGCUCAUGCCUGUAAUCCCAGCACUUUGGGAGGCCAAGGCGGGCAGAUCACUUGAGGUCAGAUUUGAGACCAGCAUGGCCAACAUAGCGAAACAGUCUCUACAAAAAAGAAGAAAGAAAACAAAAAUUAGCUGGGCAUGGUGGUGCACGCCUGUGGUCCCAGCUACUCUGGAAGCUGAGGCUUGGGAGGCUGAGGCACGAGAAUUGCUUGAACCCAGGAGGCGGAGGUUGCAGUGAGCCGAGAUUGCGCCACUGUACUCCAGCCUGGGCGACAGAAUGAGACUCCCUCUCAAAAUAAAAAUAUACAUUUACUGUAAAAAUAUAUUUGUCCAGCACGUGGAAUGAUCUGGAUUUGCUAACCCAUAAGGCUGACCGGGACUCAUUGUCCAUGGAGAGCGAACUCGCCUUCCUCGGGGAGAUGGUGCUUCGCCUCCUUCCUGCACUUCCAGCCCCACUGCCCCACCCGGCAGGCUCAUGCUGACUGUGCUUUGCUGAGGAUCUGCUUAGGAACUGCCUCAGUUUGCUGAGAAGUGAAAUGUUCUUGGGGGAACCCUCAGGGUUGUUGUCCCAGUUCCUGACACUAAGGCCUGCAUUUAGCAUGGUGCUCGGCCCAACACAGCAGACAGGCACCGUUCCCCCACCUCUGCCAACGAGGAGAGCCCCUGGGGGUUAACACUGCCGCUGGUGCCAGCACUGAUGGCAGCAUGGCAGUCAGGACCUAGGCCUGACAGAGUCCCCGGCAGCUACAGAAGUGCAUGGUCCCUCUCUGCACGGGCCACUUCCGGUACCUCUUGGUGUUGAAGUAAUUUAAGUCAGAACCCCUUUUAUUGCCCCAGGGGUGACCGCGAGGCCGUGGUCUCAGGGCUUUGUGUUUGCAGGAGUGUGGGGCUGGGGCUGCCUUUUCUGCGUCCCCUGGAGGAGACCUCAGGCAGCCUCUGUAGGUCUGAGGACCCACCUGCAUGCCAGGUUCUCCGGGAGGCUUUGGACUUGGGAGCCUUUGAACCUGCCCUUGAGAGGCGGAUCAGGAGGGGGCAGGUUUUACGCAUCAUGUGUUGAGCCCCUCACAUGCACCCUCCAAGGACCUGUUGGGGAUGGAGCAGCUUGCUGGAGACAAGGGGCAUGGCCUUAGCGGUGGCGCUGGGGUGAGAAUGCAGGGGUUUUGCCAAGGUAUCUGCACACAGCAGCCCCUGCCGCGUGGCAGGGACAGGAUGGGACCCUGGAAGGAAGAGGAGCUGGAGCUGUGCUGGAAGCAGCCGGCUCCCCUCACCUACCGCACAUUGCAGGGUCUGAGAGCUGGGGACGCUGGUGUGCGACAACGCGUGGUUGUUGCCACCCACCCUGGGCCCUCUGCUGCCUCUGCCGAGCCCAGGUGCACUGGCUGGGGAAAGAGUGGAGUCUAUUUGGUUCCCGUUAGAAAUAGCAGGGGGCUGGCAGUUUCAUGAUCAUGUCACCCACGUGUGUGAGUUUGCACACGCUUGCGCACGAAGGAACGCAUGCACCCUUGCACACAGCGAGAGGAGAGUUGGGCAGUUUCCACUCUCAGCAGCGCCGCCUCAGGCAGGUGCAGGGAGUGCCGUCGUCUUAGAGGGUCCCCCCUGGGUCUGGGGCUGCAGGGGACCUGCCUGGAGGUCUUUACAUCAGGGCAAAGCGGGGCAGGGGCUGCCUCUGGGUCUGGCGAUUCACCACUGCCCCGCUCAGAACGUGGGUGCAAGAGGCAGUGGGUGACCCCGCGUGUGUGGGCACAGUGGGCACCAGGAGCCCUGACCUUCUGUGUCAUGUUUCUGAACAGAGCCUGGAAACCUGGCUGGCGUCAGGCACAUCAUCCUGGUCCUCUCAGGAAAGGGGGGCGUUGGGAAAAGCACCAUCUCCACGGAGCUGGCCCUGGCACUGCGCCAUGCAGGCAAGAAGGUGAGCGCCCUGCCCCUCACUGGGCGGAGCCCCGGGCAGCUGCCCGCAUCCCGGCGGAGGCCUGGCGGUGCCCCUGGCCUAGGCUGUGCCGCUCCUUGCAGGUGGGAAUCCUGGAUGUGGACCUGUGUGGCCCCAGUAUCCCCCGCAUGCUCGGGGCGCAGGGCAGGGCUGUGCACCAGUGCGACCGUGGCUGGGCACCCGUCUUCCUGGACCGGGAGCAGAGCAUCUCGCUCAUGUCUGUGGGCUUCCUGCUGGAGAAGCCGGACGAGGCCGUGGUGUGGAGAGGCCCC